ACUCUCAGCUGCUCUGUAAUGCAAGUCGACAGGAAAAUCUACAAGGGCUUCACGGUCUUCUUUCUAGAAAAAUCCCAACAAGGGUUUGAUAGUAAAAAGUACUUCGUAGUCAUUUUCAAAUAGGGGAGAAUUUCCUGAAGUAUGCAGCAUCUGCUCUGCCGGGUUUGCAAUCUGUGCACAGGUAUUGCAGUUAAUGAGCCACCGGCUUGCCGCUUCCAGGGCCAGGCUGGAGCAGUCAGCUGGUGGAAUGAUGGGAACUGCAAUCGGCAGCUCUGCACCAACGUGCCCCGGGUUGGAAAAUGUGAUUUGUGACAGAGAAGCUUGGGAAUAAUAAUGAAAACAUAAUUGCUCCAGAAGAGGCAGAGGAUGUUGACACAAACUUACAGACUGGGACUCCAAGGAUCAGCCAGAUGAAAUGCUAUGUGCAGAGUCUUCAUUUCCCAGCUCAGUGGUGGACAGCAGAGGACUCUAAGAUCCAGCCACCUCUUGGGAUGCACACGUUUCUCUUCAACUGCGUGAUGUGAACUGCGUCACAUGCAUUAGAAAAAAACUACUUUAAAUUUCAUCUGGAACCAAAAAAGAGCCCAUAUAGCCAAGACAAUCCUAAGCAAAAAGAACAAAGCUGGAGGCAUCAUACUACCUGACUUCAAACUAUACUACAAGGCUACAGUAACCAAAACAGCAUGGUACUGGUACCAAAACAGAUAUAUAGACCAAUGAAACAGAGACCUCAGAAAUAACACCACACAUCUACAACCAUCUGACCUUUGACAAACCUGACAAAAACAAGCAAUGGGGAAAGGACUUUCUAUUUAAUAAAUGGUGCUAGGAAAACUGGCUAGCCAUAUGCAGUAAACAGAAACUGAACCCCUUCCUUAUACCUUAUACAAAAAUUAACUCAAGAUGGAUUAAAGCCUUGAAUGUAAAACCCCAAACCAUAAAAACCCUAGAAGAAAACCCAGGCAAUACCAUUCAGGACACAGGCAUGGGCAGAGACUUCAUGACUAAAGCAUCAAAAGCAAUGGCAACAAAAGCCAAAAUUGACAAAUGGGAUCUAAUUAACUAAAGAGCUUCUGUUCAGCAAAAGAAAUUAUCACCAUAGUGAACAAGCAACCUAUAGAAUGGGAGAAAAUUUUUGCAGUCUACCCAUCUGACAAAGGUCUAAUAUCUAGAAUUUACAAGGAACUGAAAACAAAUUUACAAGAAAAAAAUCAAGCAACCCCAUCAAUAAAUGGGCAAAGGAUAUGAACAGAUACUUCUCAAAAGAAGACAUUUAUUUGGCCAACAAACAUAUGAAAAAAACUCAUCAUCACUGGUCAUUAGAAAAAUGCAAAUCAAAACCAUGAUGAGAUACCAUCUCACACCAGUUAGAAUGGCAAUUAUUAAGAAGUCAGGAAACAACAGAUGCUGGUGAUGCUGUGGAGAAAUAGGAACGCUUUUACACUGUUUGUGGGAGUGUAAAUUAGUUCAACCAUUGUGGAAGACAGUGUGAUGAUUCCUCAAGCAUCUAGAACCAGAAAUACCAUUUGACCCAGCAAUCCCAUUACUGGGUAUAUACCCAAAGGAUUAUAAAUCAUUCUACUAUAAAGACACAUGCACACGUAUGCUUAUUGCAGCACUAAUUACAAUAGAAAAGACUUGGAACCAACCCAAAUGCCCAUCAAUGAUAAAGCAAACAUGGCACAUGGCAUAUACCAUGGAAUACUAUGCAGCCACAAAAAAUAAUGGGUUCAUGUCCUUUACAGGGACAUGGAUGAAGCUGCAAGCCAUAAUUCUCAGCCAACUAACACAGGAACAGAAAACCAAACACUGUGUGUUCUCACUCAUAAGUGGGAGCUGAACAGUGAGAACACAAGGACACACAGAGAGGAACAUCACACCCUGGGGCCUGUUGAGGGGUGGGGCGCGUUGAGGGGUGGGGCCCAAGGGGAGGGAGAGCAUUACGACAAAUACCUAAUGCAUGUGGGACUUAAAACCUAGAUGACGGGUUGAUAGGUGCAGCAAACCACCAUGGCACAUGUAACAAACCCGCAGUUCUGCACAUGUAUCCCAGA
rnacentral:lncRNA from 10 species